rnacentral:rRNA from 1 species
GAGUUUGAUCCUGGCUCAGAUUGAACGCUGGCGGCAGGCCUAACACAUGCAAGUCGAGCGGUAGAGAGAAGCUUGCUUCUCUUGAGAGCGGCGGACGGGUGAGUAAUGCCUAGGAAUCUGCCUGGUAGUGGGGGAUAACGCUCGGAAACGGACGCUAAUACCGCAUACGUCCUACGGGAGAAAGCAGGGGACCUUCGGGCCUUGCGCUAUCAGAUGAGCCUAGGUCGGAUUAGCUAGUUGGUGAGGUAAUGGCUCACCAAGGCGACGAUCCGUAACUGGUCUGAGAGGAUGAUCAGUCACACUGGAACUGAGACACGGUCCAGACUCCUACGGGAGGCAGCAGUGGGGAAUAUUGGACAAUGGGCGAAAGCCUGAUCCAGCCAUGCCGCGUGUGUGAAGAAGGUCUUCGGAUUGUAAAGCACUUUAAGUUGGGAGGAAGGGCAGUAAAUUAAUACUUUGCUGUUUUGACGUUACCGACAGAAUAAGCACCGGCUAACUCUGUGCCAGCCG